rnacentral:misc_RNA from 1 species
AGCUUCAGCUGAGGUUUUAGGGAAGGGAACGUUUGGAACAGCUUACAAGGCGGUGUUGGAGAUGGGCACAGUUGUAGCUGUUAAGAGAUUGAAGGAUGUGACCAUAUCUGAUAUGGAGUUCCGGGAGAAAAUCGAUCAAGUUGGACAAAUGAAUCAUGAGAAUUUGGUGCCUCUUAGGGCAUAUUAUUACAGCAGGGAGGAAAAGCUUCUUGUCUAUGACUACAUGCCAAUGGGUAGCUUGUCUGCACUGCUUCAUGGAAAUAAGGGGGCUAGCAAGACACCACUGGAUUGGAAAGUCAGGUCAGGCAUUGCCCUUGGUACGGCUCGGGGCAUUGAAUACCUACACUCUCAAGGUUCAACUGUCCAUGGGAACAUUAAAUCAUCCAAUGUUCUUCUCACCAAAUCAUAUGAUGCACGAGUGUCAGAUUUUGGCCUAGCCCAGCUGGUUGGACCUCCAACUUCCCCAACUCGAGUUGCUGGAUAUCGUGCUCCAGAGGUAACUGACCCACGCAGAGUAACCCAAAAGGCAGAUGUAUAUAGCUUUGGUGUAUUGCUUCUUGAGCUUCUUACUGGGAAGGCACCCACUCAUGCCCUCCUGAACGAGGAAGGUGUUGACUUGCCAAGAUGGGUGCAGUCUAUCGUUCAAGACCAAUGGACUUCACAAGUUUUUGAUAUUGAGCUCCUCAGGUACCAAAGCGUUGAGGAAGAAAUGGUGCAACUCUUGCAGCUCGCAAUAGAUUGCUCGACUCAAUAUCCCGACAACAGACCUUCUAUGUCUGAUGUCGUUGAGCGAAUUCAAGAGCUGCGUCUCUCAAGCUUGCGGGUUACUCAAGAACAGUCUGAUUCUGUCAAUGAAUCUGAUUGAGGUGGUCCUUAGUCCUUUUACAUGUGCAGCAGUACUUGAACUAAAGAAGCACCAUCACCAAUUUACAGAAUCCCAUUUAAGCAUAUUUAACUUUAUUAAUGCUUUCUGUUGGUUAGUAGGGCCUAUCUUCUUUCAUUUAAAUUUUAACAAUUUUAUGCCCUUUCCUUUUUCUCAGUUCUCCAUUGUAGUUGAGCUAGAGCCCUUUUCAUUUUCCUUUGUGUGGGGGGGCCAUUCUCUGUACCAUUUGUUCUUGUUGGUUGG